AUUGAACGCUGGCGGCAGGCUUAACACAUGCAAGUCGAACGAGUGGAGGACGGGUGAGUAAUGCUUGGGAAUCUAGCUUAUGGAGGGGGAUAACUACGGGAAACUGUAGCUAAUACCGCGUACCAUAGGAUGAGCCCAAGUGGGAUUAGGUAGUUGGUGAGGUAAAGGCUCACCAAGCCGACGAUUUCUAGCUGGUCUGAGAGGAUGAGCAGCCACACUGGGACUGAGAAACGGCCCAGACUCCUACGGGAGGCAGCAGUGGGGAAUAUUGCACAAUGGGCGCAAGCCUGAUGCAGCCAUGCCGCGUGUGUGAAGAAGGCUUUCGGGUUGUAAAGCACUUUCAGUGAGGAGGCGUUACUCGCAGAAGAAGCACCGGCUAACUCAGUGCCAGCAGCCGCGGUAAUAC
rnacentral:rRNA from 1 species